CAAAUGUGUGUGUGUGUGUGUCAGUCACGUCAUGGGUACCGGUUGCGGUGUGGGGACCGAAAAUCCAGUCCCCAUAAGGAUAACCCUUUUAAAUAAAUACAGGAUCUACUCUGAAGGUGCCUGUGAAGUUUUUAGCUUCGGCCCAUAUGGCAUGUUUUUUAGUGAGUCUGUGUGUGUGUGUGUGAGCAUUGCUCAUUAGUGCCCCUACUUGUUUCUGGCUAGUACUGCACCCACUGCUUCUCACACACGCACAUCUUCCAAAUAUGGUUGGGUACCACCGACUUCCUGGUACUCAUUAGGAAGGUUUUAAGCAGGGUGGACAUUUUCAGCAUUACAGGUGGUAAUCAACAGAGAAAAAGAAGAUUAUUUGCUGAAGAUACCAGCGAAGAAGAUAAUAACUUGUGCAGAGGAGCAAAAGUGAAGCACAAGAUUGUGUCACAGUUCCAAAAUGAAAGUGAGACUUUUAUACCAAGACUGAGACGGAAUAACAAAAUGUCAGUAAGUUCUGAAUGUGAGGUGAGCUGCAAAUGUGUUUAGAGCUGCAAUCACAAAUUGGAUUAUUUCAAUUAAUUCAGUGGAUUAUAUUUUUACAUUUUAAAUCAUGUAGUCUGUAAAGUAUAAUCUCUUUAAGGUGCUCAUCAGUUUUUCUUUGACCCCAAGUUGAUCUUUUUCAGAACAUUCCAUAAUUCAAAAAUAAUUCUGUUAUUAUUCUCUAGAGGUGAACUCAUGACACUUUUCUUUUAUCUUUUGUAUGUCAGUAAUGAUUGUGUAUUCUUCUUUUUUGAUAUGAAUUGUCAUUGUUUGAAUUAAACUAGAAAUGGCAUAUAUGGCAAUGUCAUAGCAGCCAUAUGGACACAGAAAAAGAAACGACCUGAUCCCUGACCACCUUUAAGCUGUUUAUAAUUUUGUUAUUUAAAAAAUUAGUUUUUUACUUUUAUAGCACCAACAGCAGAGGAGUCACUUCCUCCCACUGAGAGGAAUGAAAUGUAGCCACAACCACCCAAUAGACCAAAAGCAAUAUCAUUAAAUGGUGAGGUACCUUCAGGAGUCAAUACGAUGAGGCCUUCCUCUGAAGCUAAACUUUUGACCGAUAGUACCUCUGCUAUGUUUUUAAUAUCAGUAUUAAUUAUGUGUAGUUCUUUUUUGGAUAUGGAUUUUAACUGCACAAUUAAACUAGAAAUUGCCAAAUGUGUUAGAUAGCAGUCAUAAAAAGAAAGAAGCACAUCUUGGAAAUUUAGCCAAAUUAUUAAAUUAUGUGCAAAUCUCACAAACUGUUCCUCUGCCUAUUAAACAAACUAUUAACACAACGCUCUUAAAAUAUUUCUAAUCCCACAAUUUUUUGCGCAAGCAUCCAUCCACAGACCAGGGGCCUCAUUUAUAACCGUUGCGUACACACAAAACGAGGGCCUGAAACUUGCGUAGGCCACUUGUCAAGCAAACGUUGGGAUUUAUAAAAACAAACUUGAUGGGUGAUUGUGCGCACUCCCACGCUAACUCUGACCCAUGCGUAGGAACAUUUUGGAGAUGGGAAAAUUUAAAUGCAGACGUGAGGUAGUGAACUGAGACCAGAUUAUUCAUCCACUUCAUCCAACAGCAUUAUUUGUACUCACCUUUGCCUCCGCCUUUGAAUUAGAUCUUUUUUUAUUUCAUGCUCCGUUCUUUUUAUCGUCCUCACUCUCACUCACUGUAUUAUCAGCAGCAGAGUAUCAGUGUAUUUUCUUUAUUAAGGACAUCACUGCUGUCCCAUAAAAUCGCUCUUCAUCUCCACCUCACUACCAAACACCUCGAUGUCAGUGUCAGAAAGUUCUGCUUCCUCUUCUCAUUGCUUGAUGCCAUGAUUCACAGUAGAAACCCAUUGGUCAGCAGGAUAAUUCAAUAUUCAUGAGGUGCUUUGCAUUGAGCAUUUAUGGUUGAAUGUGGGCGUGUGGAGGGAGGGAUAUGAGGCAGAUUCACAUACCAACGUUUCCAGGUGGACUGUGAUUUAUAAAGUGAACAUUGCGUGUGCAAGGUUCUACAAAUCAGAUCUUUUUUUGGGUAUGCCAUUUUAUACUGAGUGUAUGGUUACAUAGUAAUAACUUACAGUAUUACUCCUACUGCGAAAGCAACUAAACAUAAUCACCAUCACCAUUUGGAACCUAGAUACAUUUAUCCAACAGAUCCAAAGUUUUAUAAAUACAUUUUUUUCUUCCUGAAAGAUUUGAGAAAUUGAUGUCAGGAAAGGUGAGCCAAUGUCGGUGAUUAGAAUAAACAAUUUAUUUUUUAACAUAACACAGCAUGUACAGCUUAUAAGAAAAUUGAAUCCUAAUAAUUUCCUCUUUACCACUGAUAAUUUCAGGCAGAAGGCACAAAUCAGUGUUUGCCUGGCAAUGUAAUUAUGUAUAUAGUUAGAGUGCAGAUCAUUUUUCUUAUACUUUAGAGGCUAGUAUACACUGUGUAGGAUUUAUAACUUUGGAUCAGAAUUUUAACAGACACACACACUUCGGUAUCCUUGUCAUUACAAAUGGGUUUUUCUGACCACUUUAAGGUACAGCUGCCCAAAAGAAGAAAACACCCUGGAAGCAGACAGAAGUGAAAGCAGUGGAAAGGCACAUGAAUCGAUCCGUAUGGCUGACACUACCUUGGUCCUAAAGGUCUACUGAAAGUGUUUAUUUACUAUGUUUUAAGAGGCAUUUGAACAUUUUGUAUUAUAUUGUUCUGUACUGAAGUGCCAAUAAUGGCCAAAAUUUAUAUGUUAUUUAAAAAGGAAGGAUCAGCAAAACUUGAAAUUGUAUUUGUUUAAGAAUUCCUUAGAACUCAGAUAACUUGAAUUUGUUUUGAGAUUCAUUCAACCAAAUCUUUUGAGUUUUUCUGUGAAGUGGAAUUCAAUACAAGUUUAAUUAUACAAUUUAAAUGUGAGUUUAAUCUCAUGGAAUUGAAGUGUCGGGUGAUUGAAUAGUAGUAAGCUGUUGCUCUGAAUAUUAAAAUAUAUUUUUUAAUUA